CGCUGUAGCUCAGCUGGUAGAGCAACUGACUUGUAAUCAGUAGGUCGUCAGUUCAAAUCUGACUAGCG
rnacentral:tRNA from 2 species